AGCGUCACUUGAGGUACCUGUAAAUAGUGAAGUCAUAUCCUUCUUGUGGACAGGUCAUGUAAAAAUACUAUACAUCGUUGCAUACAAAAACUCUUUAUGUUGUGCUUAAUACUUGAAAAUCUUCUUCAUUACAUUUCUAGUAUCUUAAUAUAGUCAUAGGUUUUCUAAGCAUUCAUUGGGCCUUCUCUUCUUGAUCAAUAGCCAUCAUUCUAAUGUGUGUAUGUGUGUGAUUACUGUAAGUUAAACACAAACACAUUGCAAUAAACCACAUAAGGACAUAGGUAAUUGUACAAUUUCUGAACCAAAACUAAAAAAACAAAACCUAGAAUUUGAGCUGUGUG